ACAAACUGCAUUCAUUAAACUGACACACACUCUACAUUCACUACACACUAACAUACACUCUGCAUUCAUUGCACACUAACACACACUCUGCAAGCACUACACACUAACACACACUCUGCAUUCACUACACUAACACACACAGCAUUCAUUACACUGACACACGCUCUGCAUUCAUUACACUAACACACACUCUGCAUUCAUU